AUGGCGGCGCCGGGCGCUGAGGAGCUGCGGGCGGGCGGCCCGGGGCUGGGCCCCGCUGUCCCGCCGCACCCCGGCGUGUCGCGGCGGCGCGGGCGCACGCUGCUGGUGCGGCACCUGCCCGCCGAGCUGACGGCGGCGGAGAAGGAGGAUCUGCUGCAGCACUUCGGGGCCGUGUCGGUGCGCGUCCUGUCGGACCACGGACGGCUGAAACAUACUGCUUUUGCCACCUUUCCCAGUGAAAAUGCAGCUGCAAAGGCUUUAUCAAGACUGCAUCAGCUGAAACUUUUAGGUCACACAUUAGUUGUUGAAUUUGCAAAGGAGCAAGAGAGUGCACAGGUACUUAGCCAGCCCUCUGUCUCAGACAAGUGCAAAAGUUUAGAAGAACCAGUGAAAGAAGAAGAGAAGGCACAACCAAACUGUAUUAAAAUAGAGAAUGGAAUUGCACCCAACCAUGGCCUCACCUUUCCCAUCAAUUCUUGCCUCAAAUAUUUGUAUCCACCACCUUCAAGUGCAAUUCUAGCAAAUAUAGCAAAUGCCUUGGCAAGCGUGCCCAAAUUUUAUGUCCAGGUACUUCAUCUGAUGAAUAAAAUGAAUCUUCCUCCACCUUUUGGACCAAUUACUGCUCGUCCUCCUAUGUAUGAAGAGUAUUUACCAGUGCCUGUGCCACCUCCCCCAAUCCCACCUCUGCCUCCUGAAGAGCCUCCUUUGCCUGAAGAGGAAGAAGAGCGACUGUCUAGUGGGGAUGAAUCAGAAUAUGAAAGUGAUAAUGAUGAGGAAAAGGAAAGAAUGACCAAGCUGAUGGAACUAGCAACCCUGCAGCCUAAAAGACCAAUAAACACCAAGAAACGUGGGGUUAGAAAAAAGCAAAGAAUUAAAGACAUGUUGAAUGUUCCUGUGUGUACUUCUCACAGUAACUCGCACCCUACACUGUCACCUUCUGAUGUCUUUGAGCAGCCACAGCACGUAGGUCAUAAAAAAAUAGAGUUUCAUAUUAGUACUGAGAUCCCAGCUGUCCUUCAGAUAAACUCAGAAAAAGAAGAAAAAAAUGACCUUUAUGCAACCACAGAAGAAAUCAAUAAUACAGGCUUUGGAAGGAUUUUCCCAGCUCCUAGCUCGAAUGAUAAAAUGGAAACUGAAGAGGAGGAUGAUGAAAUACCAUCAGAAUUUAUUUCUAGAAAGGAUCUAGAAAAAAACAGACUUUCUAGAGAAGAAAUGGAAAAAUAUUCUGUUUUCAGAAACUAUGAGCCAGGUGAUCCAAACUGCAGGAUAUAUGUGAAGAAUUUAGCUAAACAAGUACAAGAAAAGGAUCUUAAGUUCAUUUUUGGAAGAUAUGUUGACUUCCAGUCAGAGGUGGAACGCAAUAUGUUUGAUAUCCGUUUGAUGAAAGAAGGCCGUAUGAAAGGACAGGCUUUCAUUGGACUGCCCAAUGAGAAAGCAGCUGCUAAAGCACUAAAGGAAGCAAAUGGCUAUGUCUUAUUUGAAAAACCCAUGGUGGUUCAAUUUGCUCGUUCAGCUAGACCAAAACAGGAUCCUAAUGAAGGGAAAAGAAAAAAAUAAAACACUGUACAAGGUAUGGACUCUGCCUGAAAGCAAAAGUAAAGGAUUGGGCUGGAGGUUUUUGUUAGUGUUUGUUUGGUUUUAUUUGCUCUCUCUUUAACAGCUUCUUUAGGAAUACUGAUGAUGGAGAGGAAUUGUUCCAUACAAAUUUCUUUUCUUAAAUGUGUGGUUAUAUUAGAAAAACAGAGUGCAAGGUAUAUAGUUGAUAUAAGUUUUAUUUAAACUUUGCUUUUUUCUUUGUUAAAAAAUUCAGAGAUGGAUAUUUUCCUAAUCCUGAUAUCGUCAGGCAUUUCUUAGUUUCUCUAAUCCCUAAUCUGCAAAGAUAAGGAGAAUAUUUUUGUGGAAUUAGACCACUUUCAGUAAUCCUCCAAGGUUUUGGUAUUGAAAAGUGUUACCUCUUAACUCCUUCCUUUCCAUCCCUGCCAUUGUAAAGUGAUCCUGAAGAACUGGUUCAGCAAUAAACUUCACUAGCUGUAGAGGAUCUUUGCUAACUUUAUAAAUUAGUUCUUAGUGCUGUUGCAGCAUCCUUUACACUUGUCUGAAUUAGUGAAGGAUAUUCUGUUUGAAAGUGCUGCCUAAUGUUGAUCAAGGUGUCCUUUGCCAUGGAAUGUGUCGGUCCUGAUUUUUAGCAUUAUUUAAACAUGAUGAGAAAAUAACUUGUAGCAGAAAGUUUUUUAACUUUAUUUCAUAUAAUGUAGCUUUACUUCACUGCUACCUUUUUUCUGAGGGUUUCAUUUAUGUGAGAGUAAGUCAAGCAAAAUCAGCUCUAAGUUACCUGAGUGGUUUUGUGGCCUGCAAACAUUUGCAUAGUGAACCCUCAAAUGACCAUGUGAAAGAAAUGGUGCAAGAAUAAAAAGCAUUGAUUUCUCAAUCAGCACCCUGUGAUACAUGAGCUAGCUCAAAUUUAAAAGAAAUUAGCCUUAAUUUCUGGCUACAGUUGAGAUCGCUCUUGUUAUGCCUCUGCUUAAAGGAAAAUUAACUGAAAUCUUAGCCUGAGUGCUUAUGAAACAUUAAUUAAGCCAUGGUGUGUUUUUAAUCUGGAGCUUGAUCCUUAUUAUUCUGAAGAAAACCCAAAUUCAAAAUAAAGGAUGUGAACAGCUGUUUUUGAUUUUUUUUUUUACAAAUUGGUUGUAAAGCCCCCAGUGUGGUUAUUGUGAUGGUAGUAUUUCUAUUUUUAACAGAAACUCUAAUUGUAGGUUCUUCAUUCUAUCCAUUGUCUAAGGAUUUUUAAAAUCAGAUUUAAGGUUGUUUUCCUCUUAGCUGAUAUUUGGUCUUACUUGCUAUUUUGUGUUAUUGUUUGUAGUUUGCAAAAUACAUAUUUUGUCAAAGUUCACUUUUUUGUAGGCUUUCUUCUGUACUGAUCAUUGAAAAGAGAAGAGAGCCUUGGCUGAAGUGUUCUACUAGGAUCGAGUAUUUAUGAGAAUAUUUCAGUCUUGUUUCUCACUCUUUUCUUGUUAGAAAAGACUUCUAUUUGUAUUAUCUAGUGUCUAAUAAGAUUACCAAGGUUUCUUAUAUAUAAAAAAAAUUGAAGCAUUUUAGCUAUUGCAAAGCCUGCUAGAUGAAGUCUGAGCACUUUUAUUCUUUUAGGAAUUCCAUGUCUUUCCAACUAAUUCUGUGCAUUAAUUCUGAAUUCAUUAAAUAUACUGAAUACUUCAGUUGCAUAAAGAAAAUAACAAGGUGCUUGUUUGUUAUUAUGUUGAUGGUCAACUCAGGAGCUUUUUCUAGAGUGAGCAAACCAUACUUAAGCAAGAUUUAAUUGUGUACCUGGAAGUCUUCCAUGAGUUACCAUCUUACAAGUGUGUCCCUGGUGUUCUGUCCAUGGGCACAACUUCUCACCUGGACUGUUUAUAUGCUGUAAUCAUAACAAUGUGCCAUGGAGUUACAAGUUUCUGAGGAUCCAUCAGGUUUAAUUAAAAAUAUUUGUUGCAUUUCCCAAGUAAUGGUUAAGCUGAACCCUAUUUCUACAUUACUGUUUUUCUGUUCCUGCUGGAAUAUUCUGAUGGAUGCAUAUUUAUGAUGCACAAUUCCAUUAGAAAAACCUGAGGUCUAGGGUUUUUGCUUUUUGUUUGGUUUGUUUUUGUUUUGUUUUUUUGUUGUUGUUUGAGGGAAAGACUCCU